rnacentral:rRNA from 1 species
UACGUAGGGGGGCUAGCGUUGUCCGGAAUCAUUGGGCGUAAAGCGCGUGUAGGCGGCCCGGUAAGUCCGCUGUGAAAGUCGAGGGCUCAACCCUCGAAAGCCGGUGGAUACUGUCGGGCUCGAGUGCGGGAGAGGCGAGUGGAAUUCCUGGUGUAGCGGUGAAAUGCGCAGAUAUCAGGAGGAACACCGAUUGCGAAGGCAGCUCGCUGGAACGUAACUGACGCUGAGACGCGAAAGCGUGGGGGAGCAAACAGG